rnacentral:RNase_P_RNA from 2 species
CCGGGGAGCCGGGCAGCCGCGGGGUCCUUUCGGGCCGCGAGGAAAGUCCGGGCUCCACGAAACAAGGGUGGCGGGUAACGCCCGCCGGGCGAGGGGGGCUUCCAGGCCUUCCGAAGCUUAGGGAAAGUGCCACAGAGAGCAGACCGCCGCGUUCCUUCGGGAGCAGGUAAGGGUGAAAGGGUGCGGUAAGAGCGCACCGCGCUACCGGUGACGGCAAGCGGCAAGGCAAACCCCACCCGGAGCAAGACCGAAUAGGGGCUGCGCGCCGGCGUCCGCGAAAGCGGGGGGAUCGGCGGGUUCGUUUCGGACCCAGGCAGCCCGGGUUGGUCGCUUGAGCGAUGCAGCGAUGUAUCGCCUAGAGGAAUGGCUGCCACCUGUCGUAAGGUCCCUCGAUUGGGAGACCACGCCAGGAACAGAACCCGGCUUACAGGCUCCCCGGCGCA